GUGCUCGCUUCGGCAGCACAUACACUACAAUUGGAAUGAUACAGAGAAGAUUAGCAUGGCCCCUGUGCAAGGAUGACACACAAAUUCGUGAAGCAUUUUAUAUUUUG
rnacentral:snRNA from 1 species